CUGGCUCAGAUGAACGCUGGCGGCAUGCCUACACAUGCAAGUCGAACGGUAACAGGUCUUCGGAGGCUGACGAGUGGCGAACGGGUGAGUAAUACAUCGGAACGUGCCCGAUCGUGGGGGAUAACGAGGCGAAAGCUUUGCUAAUACCGCAUACGAUCUACGGAUGAAAGCGGGGGAUCUUCGGACCUCGCGCGGACGGAGCGGCCGAUGGCAGAUUAGGUAGUUGGUGGGAUAAAAGCUUACCAAGCCGACGAUCUGUAGCUGGUCUGAGAGGAUGAUCAGCCACACUGGGACUGAGACACGGCCCAGACUCCUACGGGAGGCAGCAGUGGGGAAUUUUGGACAAUGGGCGAAAGCCUGAUCCAGCCAUGCCGCCGUGCAGGAUGAAGGCCUUCGGGUUGUAAACUGCUUUUGUACGGAACGAAAAGCCUCUUUCUAAUAAAGAGGGGUCAUGACGGUACCGUAAGAAUAAGCACCGGCUAACUACGUGCCAGCCGCCGC
rnacentral:rRNA from 1 species